rnacentral:rRNA from 1 species
GAUGAACGCUGGCGGCGUGCCUAAUACAUGCAAGUCGAGCGAACGGAUGAGAAGCUUGCUUCUCUGAUGUUAGCGGCGGACGGGUGAGUAACACGUGGAUAACCUACCUAUAAGACUGGGAUAACUUCGGGAAACCGGAGCUAAUACCGGAUAAUAUUUUGAACCGCAUGGUUCAAAAGUAAAAGACGGUCUUGCCGUCACUUAUAGAUGGAUCCGCGCUGCAUUAGCUAGUUGGUAAGGUAACGGCUUACCAAGGCAACGAUGCAUAGCCGACCUGAGAGGGUGAUCGGCCACACUGGAACUGAGACACGGUCCAGACUCCUACGGGAGGCAGCAGUAGGGAAUCUUCCGCAAUGGGCGAAAGCCUGACGGAGCAACGCCGCGUGAGUGAUGAAGGUCUUCGGAUCGUAAAACUCUGUUAUUAGGGAAGAACAUAUGUGUAAGUAACUGUGCACAUCUUGACGGUACCUAAUCAGAAAGCCACGGCUAACUACGUG